ACCCGGCUUAGAAGCUAGACGUCCGCUUUACAUUAUUUAUGCCGGAUUCGCUUGUCAAGAUAUCGUCUUUCGCCGUUAUUUCUGUAAGGAGCGCGUGUAUAUAUGCAAGGUCCAAAUGAAAGGAAAAUUUCACGAAGACUCGUGCCAUGCAUCGCUGACCAUGAGCAUUGGAUUCAGUGAAAGUGCCAUCAAGUUCAACUCGAGAGAUUGAAAGUAAAUAACAGGACCGCAUUCUACCUCUGUACAUGUGUUAUCCUACUUGUAUCAGUAAACCAGCAGCAUUGGGUAUAAGACAAUUCAUACAAAUAUAAACUCUUCGUUUAAAUUGGUUUUAUUUAAAUAAAGAUGAUGAUUGAUGAAAAUAUCAAUAAAGGACCAUCAGAAGGGAGUCAGAAGUGGUAUUGGAAGGUGUUGCAUUUCCUGCCAACCCAGAGAAAGUUCCCUCAAGGCAUAGGAGACAGCCUCGUUGUAGCGUUGCCAUCCAUGGAGAUACUAAAACAUGUGAAGUUAUGAUUUAUAUCUACAUAAAUGCGUACCAAACAAAAGAUACAUCAAAACAAGAAAGAGGUCAACUGACAAUGUCUAUGAUGAAUGGGGGUAAUGUAGCAAACCUUCGAAGCGUCUCUUCCAACCCCGAGGACUAUAGGUGGCAAAAAAUAGAAAAAAGAACAAUGAAUAAAAAUCUUUGUUUACGAAAUGAAAGUCAAUAUUUACAUAUGGACUUUAAAUAUCCCGCGAGAAUUGACUAAGCUCGCGUGAAAAGGUGAUUUGCUUCAAUUCUAUUGGUCAAUUUAAAAAAAUAAUCGAAAUCUCGCGGGACAACCCGCAAUUACAUUCAUAAACAAAAGUUCGUAAAGCAACGUGUUAUAUUUAGAACUCAAGCGGAUGCUAAAAUUUUCGAGUUUUCUGUCAUUCAGUUUACUGGAAUGGGCUGACUUAAGAAUAUAUGUACAUACCGUCAUAGCAGUUUGCCUCUCCACAGUAUAGGCCCUCGAAAAAUCCGCUAACUGUAUUA